AAAGUGUUAAUAUAUUUGACACAUCGCACGGCUUUAUGUAUUUAUUCUUAAUAAAUUUAAAGGGUCCCAUUGAUAUUUUUUCUUGUUAUUACUCGGCCAAAGUUCAAACAUGUACAGUGGUAAUAUUAUGUUGCAUUGUUUAUUGAAGUGUGAGGUUUAAUGUGAGGCAAUACCUCUGUGGAGUGUUUCGAAGGAAGCGGGCAGUCACUGUUUAUUUACAAGACCUGUAUUUAUGAAGAGUGGUCAUAUAAAACUUUUAUGAAAUACUUUGUGUACUUUUCAAACAGCAAAGGCUGCACUGAGAGUGCAGCUCUGGUCCCUUGUGUUUUAGGGCAGAGAUCAGUGGGAAUAAUACUCAUAACUGUCAUGUCGCACUGAUCCUUGGACGACGUGAGUUUGUUUUGGAAACUCAACACCAGGGCUGACCAGAAACAAUUACCUAACUUUUCAAACUUAUUCUCCCACGAGUGGCGUUGCAUACGUCUCUCUCCAUCUGACUCCAGCAGUCAAAACACAAAGU